CCCUCGAUAGCUCAGUUGGAAGAGCGUGAGACUGUAAUGGGAAAAUACCUUCGCUGGUGCGGCGAUCUCAAGGUCACUGGUUCGAUCCCGGUUCGAGGGA